GCAGCUCCACUUGCAGAGCCUCCUCCAGGGGAACAUUUUUGAUGUGCUCUUGGUCAGGAGAGGAGCAAACCCAAGUUCAGUCUCUCCCCUCCAGCUGCUGCUCUGGGCACAAGAGCUGAUGCCCCAGUGCAUUAAAGGCAGUGGAGGAAGCUGCAGGGCCAGGCUGCAGGCAUCACAUCUGCACCAAGAGGAAGGAAUGAGCGUGGGCUGCUGUGAAGUAUCCGUGCAGGAAUAGAGAACUGGUGUUUUUCUGAGGAUUUCCUGAGUCUGGUUGUAGAGGUACCUCAGUUUUCUGCUGCAAAGAGUUUCAGUGCCCAACCAAUGCGUGUGCAAAAGAACAUCCAUGAUUUCCCUCAGCUUUAUAAUGUUCUGAGUUGAAUGUUUUAAUGACAUAUUCACAAUUAUCUGGGACAAAUGUUUAGAGUCUCCAUGGAUGGUGGCAUCUGUCAUCACACACGGGCUAUUCCAAUGCUUAACUAUUCCUGCAAUCAGAAAAUCAGUCCUGAUUUCCAAUUGGAAUCAUCCCUGUUCAUUUUAAGCCCUUGUCCUGCUCGCUGCAGUCACAGAGAACGGGACAGUUUCUCCUCCCUCCUCU